ACACAAACUAUGAUCGGGAGUAGUAAAAGGACAAUGUCUUUCAGAGAGCUGUGGAAUUGGUGUGACACAGCGGCAGACCCCUUUGAAUCUCGCCCGGGAGUUAAGUUUGUGGAAACUUCGUAAAGAAGUGUACACGAGUUCGGUUGUCCACCGUUAAAGGGAUCUCUUUAUGUACGGUCGCGCAACCGUAUGUAAAGAACAAAGUGGGGUGCUUAGCGAGAUAGCGCCAACAAGAGUGGUACCGCGGAAGGUGAAAACCUGUCGUCUCUUAU
rnacentral:ncRNA from 1 species